rnacentral:rRNA from 1 species
GACGAACGCUGGCGGCGUGCCUAAUACAUGCAAGUAGAACGCUGAAGAGAGGAGCUUGCUCUUCUUGGAAGAGUUGCGAACGGGUGAGUAACGCGUAGGUAACCUGCCUUGUAGCGGGGGAUAACUAUUGGAAACGAUAGCUAAUACCGCAUAACAAUGGGUGACCCAUGUCAUUCAUUUGAAAGGGGCAACUGAUCCACUACAAGAUGGACCUGCGUUGUAUUAGCUAGUAGGUGAGGUAACGGCUCACCUAGGCGACGAUACAUAGCCGACCUGAGAGGGUGAUCGGCCACACUGGGACUGAGACACGGCCCAGACUCCUACGGGAGGCAGCAGUAGGGAAUCUUCGGCAAUGGGGGCAACCCUGACCGAGCAACGCCGCGUGAGUGAAGAAGGUUUUCGGAUCGUAAAGCUCUGUUGUAAAUCAAGAACGAGUGUGAGAGUGGAAAGUUCACACUGUGACGGUAGCUUACCAGAAAGGGACGGCUAACUACGUGCCAGCAGCCGCGGUAAUACGUAGGUCCCGAGCGUUGUCCGGAUUUAUUGGGCGUAAAGCGAGCGCAGGCGGUUUGAUAAGUCUGAAGUUAAAGGCUGUGGCUCAACCAUAGUUCGCUUUGGAAACUGUCAAACUUGAGUGCAGAAGGGGAGAGUGGAAUUCCAUGUGUAGCGGUGAAAUGCGUAGAUAUAUGGAGGAACACCGGUGGCGAAAGCGGCUCUCUGGUCUGUAACUGACGCUGAGGCUCGAAAGCGCGGGGAGCGAACAGG